rnacentral:sRNA from 1 species
CUUUAGCCCUGAUGGGAGCGGCAUCCUUUUUUGAUGAUCAUUGAGGCUCUCGAAAUGAUAAUCUAAAAAGAUACAGCGGACAGCAGGAACUACG